AACCAUUCUCACCUGCGGCUAGACCUGCGGAAGGAUCAUUAAAAAAAUCCUUUUUGCCCGUGGACCUCGUCCAAGGCGCAAAAAAACCCACACUGUGUGCACCGUUAUCGUUUCUUUGGCAGGGGCUUGGGGUUUAUUUUUUAAACCUCAACUUCUCCUCUGGCUCUAUCCCAACACACCAUCUCGGCGCGCGGGACAGCUGGACAUGGGAAGCAGUUUACCCUGCCAAGUAAAACCUCA
rnacentral:misc_RNA from 1 species